UCUCGUCGAGACGAAGCCGUAGACACCGACCACGCCGCAAUCGGAGUUCAGACGAAGCCGUACGCGCCUCCAAAAGUUACGCCGACUGCGCGCGUUUCUUCCACGCGCCGCCGCCGGAUAUCGCCUCCGCCGUCUUCCGCCACCGUCCUCCGCCGCAUCUCCGCCGCUGCCAGAAGUCGCCUCCGCCGCAGCUCCGCCGCCGCCGGGAAUCGCCUCCGCCGUCGCCGCCGACAAACUUUCCGAUAUGGAGUCUAUUUGAGCAGCUGGAGUUCAUAAACACUAUUUUUCUAUUGCUAAGGUGAGACAAAUAAGUAUGUGAUAUUUGGACGGACUUGGUGCUACUGGACUUUUCUUUCGGAUUUUAUUUGGGCUUGGGUGAGCGUUAUUGGGUUUAUGGGCUUUUAUAUUAUGGGAUAUUGUUGGUGGCCCGUCGUCCUUAGUGAGAAGGAGACGGAUGUCACAUUGUUGUAUGAUGACGCGUCGGUGGUGACACGCUGUCCUCCAGAUAGGAGGUGACGGGUGUCGCAAUUUUGGUAUCAGAGCGGGGUUCCAUCCCGGUUCCGUCCGGGAUGGCGGUCAGGGGAUUCGGUUUUCAUCGGUUUUCAACGUUCUUUUUGUUUUUUUUAAAAAAAUAUUUAUUAAUAUAUUUCGAAAUUCUUUUAGCACCAUUCUGUCCAUUAAUUACUAACUCAAAUGUCUCUUUCUAUGACGAUGAGUAAAAUCAUCGUCAUUCGUCCUUCGACUAACAGGGUUCUCGCCAGAUGUUCAGCAGUUGGGCGAUGUUUAAGUUCUUCAGUUUUCUCAAGAGUUAUCAGUUUCUUCGGUCAUGAUUUCGAGGUUAUCCAGGAGUGGAUAUGUGACGUUUCUGCCACCAGCCCACUUCAAGCAAUCGUUCCACGAGUUUUGUUACUGGAGAUUAUGUGAUGUGAGGUAUGAGCCAUUGGUUGGCAUGUGUACGAGUAUAUUAUCUAUUUUGGAGGUAUAUUUGUCUUGUGAACUCGUGGAGAUCGCUUUUGAAUUGGGAUGUGCCGGUUCGGAUAGCUGACAUAUGACAUUGGGAGCUAUUUAUAUUCAUGGUGUCGCACCAGUUAUGCUUGGUGGAGUCGAGUUAUCUGGAGCCCCUCAGAGAGAUGGAGCAGAGUUUUAUGAUGUUAUUGUUUUUUUUGGGAUGGAUUGGUUGUCACGACAUCGAGUAGUGUUGGAUUGCCUGAAGGCACGA